UAGAGUUUGAUCAUGGCUCAGGAUGAACGCUAGCGACAGGCUUAACACAUGCAAGUCGAGGGGCAGCGGGGAGGUAGCAAUACUUCCGCCGGCGACCGGCGCACGGGUGAGUAACACGUAUGGAACCUGCCCGUAGCAGGGGGAUAAACGGAAGAAAUUCCGUCUAAUACCGCGUAAUAACUCCGAGAGGCAUCUCAUGGAGUUUAAAGGGUAACACCGGCUACGGAUGGCCAUGCGGCGCAUUAGCUAGUUGGCGGGGUAACGGCCCACCAAGGCGACGAUGCGUAGGGGUUCUGAGAGGAAGGUCCCCCACACUGGUACUGAGACACGGACCAGACUCCUACGGGAGGCAGCAGUGAGGAAUAUUGGUCAAUGGGCGCGAGCCUGAACCAGCCAAGUCGCGUGAGGGAAGACGGUCCUAUGGAUUGUAAACCUCUUUUGUCGGGGAGCAAAAGACGCCACGUGUGGCGUUCCGAGAGUACCCGAAGAAAAAGCAUCGGCUAACUCCGUGCCAGCAGCCGCGGUAAUACGGAGGAUGCGAGCGUUAUCCGGAUUUAUUGGGUUUAAAGGGUGCGCAGGCGGAAGAUCAAGUCAGCGGUAAAAUUGAGAGGCUCAACCUCUUCGAGCCGUUGAAACUGGUUUUCUUGAGUGAGCGAGAAGUAUGCCGAAUGCGUGGUGUAGCGGUGAAAUGCAUAGAUAUCACGCAGAACUCCGAUUGCGAAGGCAGCAUACCGGCGCUCAACUGACGCUCAUGCACGAAAGUGUGGGUAUCGAACAGGAUUAGAUACCCUGGUAGUCCACACAGUAAACGAUGAAUACUAAUUGUUCGGGGAGAAUGAUCCCUGAGUGAUACAGCGAAAGCGUUAAGUAUUCCACCUGGGGAGUACGCCGGCAACGGUGAAACUCAAAGGAAUUGACGGGGGCCCGCACAAGCGGAGGAACAUGUGGUUUAAUUCGAUGAUACGCGAGGAACCUUACCCGGGCUCAAACGACACAGGAAUACUUUUGAAAGGAAGUAGCUCUACGGAGCCUGUGUCGAGGUGCUGCAUGGUUGUCGUCAGCUCGUGCCGUGAGGUGUCGGCUUAAGUGCCAUAACGAGCGCAACCCCCAUCGCCAGUUACCAGCAAGUCAAGUUGGGGACUCUGGCGAGACUGCCGGCGCAAGCUGUGAGGAAGGCGGGGAUGACGUCAAAUCAGCACGGCCCUUACGUCCGGGGCGACACACGUGUUACAAUGGCAGGUACAGAGAGAAGCAAUGCGGCGACGCAAAGCGGAACUUGAAAGCCUGUCUCAGUUCGGAUUGGAGUCUGCAACUCGACUCCAUGAAGCUGGAUUCGCUAGUAAUCGCGCAUCAGCCAUGGCGCGGUGAAUACGUUCCCGGGCCUUGUACACACCGCCCGUCAAGCCAUGGAAGCCGGGAGUGCCUGAAGUGUGCAACCGCAAGGAGCGCCCUAAGGUAAAACUGGUGACUGGGGCUAAGUCGUAACAAGGUAACCGUAA
rnacentral:rRNA from 1 species